rnacentral:tRNA from 1 species
AGCGGGGUAGGGCAGCCAGGUCUAGCCCGCCGGGCUCAUAACCCGGAGGUCGUUGGUUCAAAUCCAACCCCCGCUA